rnacentral:rRNA from 1 species
AAAAACGUAACAAGGUCUCCGUAGGUGAACCUGCGGAGGGAUCAUUACACAAAUAUGAAGGCGGGCUGGAACCUCUCGGGGUUACAGCCUUGCUGAAUUAUUCACCCUUGUCUUUUGCGUACUUCUUGUUUCCUUGGUGGGUUCGCCCACCACUAGGACAAACAUAAACCUUUUGUAAUUGCAAUCAGCGUCAGUAACAAAUUAAUAAUUACAACUUUCAACAACGGAUCUCUUGGUUCUGGCAUCGAUGAAGAACGCAGCGAAAUGCGAUAAGUAGUGUGAAUUGCAGAAUUCAGUGAAUCAUCGAAUCUUUGAACGCACAUUGCGCCCUUUGGUAUUCCAAAGGGCAUGCCUGUUCGAGCGUCAUUUGUACCCUCAAGCUUUGCUUGGUGUUGGGCGUCUUGUCUCUAGCUUUGCUGGAGACUCGCCUUAAAGUAAUUGGCAGCCGGCCUACUGGUUUCGGAGCGCAGCACAAGUCGCACUCUCUAUCAGCAAAGGUCUAGCAUCCAUUAAGCCUUUUUUCAACUUUGACCUCGAUCAGUACGACCCAGCC